AUGAACGCUGGCGGCGCGCCUAACACAUGCAAGUCGAACGGCACCUGCCUUCGGGCAGAAGCGAGUGGCGAACGGCUGAGUAACACGUGGAGAACCUGCCCCCUCCCCCGGGAUAGCCGCCCGAAAGGACGGGUAAUACCGGAUACCCCGGGGUGCCGCAUGGCACCCCGGCUAAAGCCCCGACGGGAGGGGAUGGCUCCGCGGCCCAUCAGGUAGACGGCGGGGUGACGGCCCACCGUGCCGACAACGGGUAGCCGGGUUGAGAGACCGACCGGCCAGAUUGGGACUGAGACACGGCCCAGACUCCUACGGGAGGCAGCAGUGGGGAAUCUUGCGCAAUGGGGGGAACCCUGACGCAGCGACGCCGCGUGCGGGACGGAGGCCUUCGGGUCGUAAACCGCUUUCAGCAGGGAAGAGUCAAGACUGUACCUGCAGAAGAAGCCCCGGCUAACUACGUGCCAGCAGCCGCGGUAAUACGUAGGGGGCGAGCGUUAUCCGGAUUCAUUGGGCGUAAAGCGCGCGUAGGCGGCCCGGCAGGCCGGGGGUCGAAGCGGGGGGCUCAACCCCCCGAAGCCCCCGGAACCUCCGCGGCUUGGGUCCGGUAGGGGAGGGUGGAACACCCGGUGUAGCGGUGGAAUGCGCAGAUAUCGGGUGGAACACCGGUGGCGAAGGCGGCCCUCUGGGCCGAGACCGACGCUGAGGCGCGAAAGCUGGGGGAGCGAACAGGAUUAGAUACCCUGGUAGUCCCAGCCGUAAACGAUGGACGCUAGGUGUGGGGGGACGAUCCCCCCGUGCCGCAGCCAACGCAUUAAGCGUCCCGCCUGGGGAGUACGGCCGCAAGGCUAAAACUCAAAGGAAUUGACGGGGGCCCGCACAAGCGGAGGAACAUGUGGUUUAAUUCGAAGCAACGCGAAGAACCUUACCAGGUCUUGACAUCCCGAUGACCGGCCCGUAACGGGGCCUUCUCUUCGGAGCAUUGGAGACAGGUGGUGCAUGGUUGUCGUCAGCUCGUGUCGUGAGAUGUUGGGUUAAGUCCCGCAACGAGCGCAACCCCCGCCGCGUGUUGCCAUCGGGUGAUGCCGGGAACCCACGCGGGACCGCCGCCGUCAAGGCGGAGGAGGGCGGGGACGACGUCAAGUCAUCAUGCCCCUUAUGCCCUGGGCUGCACACGUGCUACAAUGGCCGGUACAGAGGGAUGCCACCCCGCGAGGGGGAGCGGAUCCCGGAAAGCCGGCCCCAGUUCGGAUUGGGGGCUGCAACCCGCCCCCAUGAAGUCGGAGUUGCUAGUAAUCGCGGAUCAGCAUGCCGCGGUGAAUGCGUUCCCGGGCCUUGUACACACCGCCCGUCACACCACCCGAGUCGUCUGCACCCGAAGUCGCCGGCCCAACCGACAAGGGGGGAGGCGCCGAAGGUGUGGAGGGUGAGGGGGGUG
rnacentral:rRNA from 1 species